rnacentral:piRNA from 1 species
UGAUGCAUGCGUUGAAAAUUCCCUCUGGUU